CAUCCUGGUGGCGAGUGGCGAACGGGUGAGUAAUAUAUCGGAACGUACCUUUCAGUGGGGGAUAACGUAGCGAAAGUUACGCUAAUACCGCAUAUUCUGUGAGCAGGAAAGCAGGGGAUCGCAAGACCUUGCGCUGAUUGAGCGGCCGAUAUCAGAUUAGCUAGUUGGUGAGGUAAAGGCUCACCAAGGCGACGAUCUGUAGCGGGUCUGAGAGGAUGAUCCGCCACACUGGAACUGAGACACGGUCCAGACUCCUACGGGAGGCGGCAGUGGGGAAUUUUGGACAAUGGGGGCAACCCUGAUCCAGCCAUGCCGCGUGAGUGAAGAAGGCCUUCGGGUUGUAAAGCUCUUUCAGCCGGGAAGAAAACGCAUGGGUUAUUACCCUGUGUGGAUGACGGUACCGGAAUAAGAAGCACCGGCUAACUACGUGCCAGCAGCCGCGGUAAUACGUAGGGUGCGAGCGUUAAUCGGAAUUACUGGGCGUAAAGCGUGCGCAGGCGGUUUGUUAAGAUAGGCGUGAAAUCCCCGGGCUCGACCUGGGAACUGCGUUUAUGACUGGCAGGCUAGAGUAUGGCAGAGGGGGGUGGAAUUCCACGUGUAGCAGUGAAAUGCGUAGAGAUGUGGAGGAACACCGAUGGCGAAGGCAGCCCCCUGGGCCAAUACUGACGCUCAUGCACGAAAGCGUGGGUAGCAAACAGGAUUAGAUACCCUGGUAGUCCACGCCCUAAACGAUGUCAACUAGGUGUUGGGAGGGUAAAACCUUUUAGUACCGGAGCUAACGCGUGAAGUUGACCGCCUGGGGAGUACGGCCGCAAGGUUAAAACUCAAAGGAAUAGACGGGGACCCGC
rnacentral:rRNA from 1 species